rnacentral:tRNA from 1 species
GCGGAUGUGUCGGAAUGGCAGACGAAUCAGACUCAAAAUCUGACGGGGGCAACCCCGUGUGGGUUCAAGUCCCACUAUCCGCA